rnacentral:rRNA from 1 species
UACGAAGGGGGCUAGCGUUGCUCGGAAUCACUGGGCGUAAAGCGCACGUAGGCGGCUUCUUAAGUCAGGGGUGAAAUCCUGGAGCUCAACUCCAGAACUGCCUUUGAUACUGAGGAGCUCGAGUCCGGGAGAGGUGAGUGGAACUGCGAGUGUAGAGGUGAAAUUCGUAGAUAUUCGCAAGAACACCAGUGGCGAAGGCGGCUCACUGGCCCGGUACUGACGCUGAGGCGCGAAAGCGUGGGGAGCAAACAGG